rnacentral:rRNA from 1 species
AAUCCGUUUCCCGUGAAGGCUGAGCUGUGAUGGCGAGCGAAAUUUAGUAGCGAAGUUCCUGAUUCCACACUGCCAAGAAAAGCCUCUAGCGAGGUGAGAGGUGCCCGUACCGCAAACCGACACAGGUAGGCGAGGAGAGAAUCCUAAGGUGAUCGAGAGAACUCUCGUUAAGGAACUCGGCAAAAUGACCCCGUAACUUCGGGAGAAGGGGUGCUUCUUAGGGUGUUAAAGCCCCGAGAAGCCGCAGUGAAUAGGCCCAGGCGACUGUUUAGCAAAAACACAGGUCUCUGCGAAGCCGUAAGGCGAAGUAUAGGGGCUGACGCCUGCCCGGUGCUGGAAGGUUAAGAGGAGCGCUUAGCGUAAGCGAAGGUGCGAAUUGAAGCCCCAGUAAACGGCGGCCGUAACUAUAACGGUCCUAAGGUAGCGAAAUUCCUUGUCGGGUAAGUUCCGACCCGCACGAAAGGCGCAACGAUCUGGGCACUGUCUCAACGAGAGACUCGGUGAAAUUAUAGUACCUGUGAAGAUGCAGGUUACCCGCGACAGGACGGAAAGACCCCGUGGAGCUUUACUGCAGCCUGAUAUUGAAUGUUGGUACAGCUUGUACAGGAUAGGUAGGAGCCUUGGAAACCGGAGCGCUAGCUUCGGUGGAGGCAUCGGUGGGAUACUACCCUGGCUGUAUUGACCUUCUAACCCGCUGCCCUUAUCGGGCAGGGAGACAGUGUCAGGUGGGCAGUUUGACUGGGGCGGUCGCCUCCUAAAAUGUAACGGAGGCGCCCAAAGGUUCCCUCAGAAUGGUUGGAAAUCAUUCGCAGAGUGUAAAGGCACAAGGGAGCUUGACUGCGAGACCUACAAGUCGAGCAGGGACGAAAGUCGGGCUUAGUGAUCCGGUGGUUCCGCAUGGAAGGGCCAUCGCUCAACGGAUAAAAGCUACCCCGGGGAUAACAGGCUUAUCUCCCCCAAGAGUCCACAUCGACGGGGAGGUUUGGCACCUCGAUGUCGGCUCAUCGCAUCCUGGGGCUGUAGUCGGUCCCAAGGGUUGGGCUGUUCGCCCAUUAAAGCGGUACGCGAGCUGGGUUCAGAACGUCGUGAGACAGUUCGGUCCCUAUCCGUCGCGGGCGCAGGAAAUUUGAGAGGAGCUGUCCUUAGUACGAGAGGACCGGGAUGGACGCACCGCUGGUGUACCAGUUGUUCUGCCAAGGGCAUCGCUGGGUAGCUAUGUGCGGACGGGAUAAGUGCUGAAAGCAUCUAAGCAUGAAGCCCCCCUCAAGAUGAGAUUUCCCAUUCCGCAAGGAAGUAAGAUCCCUGAAAGAUGAUCAGGUUGAUAGGUCUGAGGUGGAAGCGUGGUGACACGUGGAGCUGACAGAUACUAAUAGAUCGAGGACUUAACCU